rnacentral:lncRNA from 1 species
UGCCUCUGCCCCGAGCGCCCCGCGCGGCGGGAGGCCUCCUCUCUGCGGCCCCUUUUUCCGGCCUCAUCCGGCUCCGGUGAGUCAGCGCUGAGCAGCCGGGGCGGGCGUGGCUGGGAGUGGGCCGUGGAAGGGGAGGCUCCGCCCGCAGAGGCCGCCGAGGAGGCCGCGUGGUCCCAGGAGGAAACUUUCAAAGGUGUUUCUGCAACAUAGCUCCAGCUGGAGGUGCUGCUUAAACUCUUCAAGGUCAAGAUGAAUCAAACUCAGAGGAGGCUUUACCCCUGGACCAUGCAAGCUCCUGAGGUCUGGGAGGAACUGCUGACAGUGAAAGUGGAGAUGGAAAGUCGCCUCCCAAUGCAGGAAUCCCGACUGAGAUGGAGUAAUCCCCUCAGGGAUUUUUAACCGAGGGAAAUUUAUCUGAAAGCACUUUCGACAGGAGAUCCCUGGGCCCUGCGAGGCCCUCACCUGGCUCUGGGAGCUGUGUCAACACUGGCUGCGCCCUGAGACCCACAGCAAGGAGCAGAUCCUGGAGCUGCUGGUGCAGGAACUGUUUCUGAUCAUCCUCCCGAGAAGCUCCAGGCCUGGGUGCAGGAGCAGCACCUCGAGAGUGGGGACAAAGUGGUGGCUACCAUGCUGGUGGACCUGGAGAGGGAGCUAGAUGAAUCACAGCAUGAGGUGGUAGCUACACACAGGGGCAAGAAGUCCUCUCCAGAGGGACAGUGCCUCUGGGACAGCAGACAUCACUGAGGCUUCAGUCCCAGCCCAGAGGACCCCAGCCCACAUGGGAUGCUGCUCAGGAGGCCCAUCCCUGGAGAGACAGCCAUCUUUUCCUUUAUUCUGCCUUCCAAGCUGUAUCUAGAACCUACUGGGGACUCCUUUCUUCAGGACGCACAUCUGAGCAUGUCCUUGCUCCCAUCUGCCCAUUGCUCGCCGCCUCCCUCCAUCCAGUCAUCCAUUAAGCAUCGAAUAUGGCUGCUGGAGAGCACCCAAGGGCUCUCUUACAGGACUGUCACUACAGAUAUUUUCUGGCAAGUUUCUAUACGAAGUAUGAUCCGACUCACUUCAUCCUAAACACAGCUUCUCUCCAGAGUGUGCUAAUUCCUAAAAUGCCACAGCUACAUGGUGAUCGGAUCUUUGGAAUUAAUAAGUAUUGAAUUGUUUUGAAACAGAAAAAAUUUUUAUAGCUACUGAGUUUUCUGUAAGGAAGGAGUGGUUAGUAAACUGCACUGCUUCUGUGAUAAUAUGAAAUGAGAAGUAUUUACAUUGGAGGGCCAGUUGCUGGUUCUUUAUAAACUGUUUUGAAGUGCAGUAUUUACUGAAAAAUGCAUAUGGUAUCUUUCUGAAGAGAGGCUUUAUAGGCAAGCUGGGCAGGUCCAGCUUAUAAGUUAAAUCACUGUAAAGUGAGGGUACAAUAGAUAAAUCUGAGGAAAUAAGAGAUUUAUAAGACACUAAGACCAGCUUAGUUUAUAAUGAGGAGGAGUUCUGUUAGGAGAAGAAAAUUUCCAAUCAUUCAGUCAGUUUAAGCAGAUAUACAUGUAAACCAGAAUCAUCUCUUUACAAGUUUAUUAUAAUUUUUAUUACCAUGUAUAUUCCUCUUAUGUUAUUUAAGAGGAUAUUUCCCUCUUGCUUUAUAUAGCCCAAUCCCUACGUUAUGAUUAUACUUUUUUGCUUUUACUGGUUCAACAUUAUAUUGAUGGAUGAGGUCAUUUUUACAUGUAUUAAGUUACUGAGUUCAUGAAGGCCCACCUUCAUGACUGGUGAUAGAAGACAGCCAGGCAUUUUACAAAUAGCCUCUGAGUCAGCUUUGUAAUUUUGGAACAGAAUGGGUUUUAUUGCCUUUCCAGACACAAGGCUGCAAAAUCAAUUUAGAAAAUAAUUUAUUUUACAGUUAAAAUAUAUGGUAGUUUAAAGGUGUCUGCUUAUUUGGUUCAUCAGUCUAAUUGUUAAAGUCUGCUGUUGUUUAGAAAAGGAAACAUAAAAUGGACAAGUAUAUGGCCAGCUUGUGGUCUAGCAGAAACUGCUUCUCUAGCAGUAAUACCAAAGUAAAUAGUGGAGUCUUCUCUAGCAGAUCUGCAGUAUAAGAAAACAUUGUCUUUUCUUAGACUCUCCGAUCUCAGUCCUCAUAUAUUGCCCAUUAAUGUUUUGCCUUUCAUUACAUAGGUCUUAGUCUUAGUGUAGAUUAACUCAGAGUGGUAACUGUUUCCAAAGCAGCAGCCAUAUUAAAUUCUAUAUAUUUAGAUAUUAGAUUCUCUAUAGAGAAUCUUCCUAUAGUUGACAUUAAUUGCCAGAAAUAACUAUAUACUACUUUGAGAAGAAGACAGUCAAAAAUAAAGUUCUGAUGUGGGAUGAAACUGAAAAAUCCAGUAAUAUUUGUAAACUUGAGUGAAAAGAGUUACAGACCAACUGAAAAAUCAAUUUGUUUCAAUAAAGUGACUUUGGGGGGUAAUGAUCAUUGUUUUGUAUUUCUGAAGUAUUGAGUUUAGAAAUCAGUUGUAUAAUAAUGCUUUUGUAUAUUUGUCUUUUCCCUUGUAUUUUUAAACCAGUAAUCUAUAUAAAUAAAUUUUUCUUUCAUGUAAGAUUCUUGCAAAUUUCCAAAUUGAGUCAGCAAUGUCAUAGUUAUUUUUCAAGGUUUUUUUAAGCAACUGAAUUUGUAAAAUUAAUGUAGUUAAAAAUACUCCUUUUUCUUUAUAUUAAAGACUUACAUUUUUUGCACAGACUUCAGAAAUAGAAGUCUACUUCUGUUAAUACAGGCCUUCUGCUUUUUUCCCCACUUUUUACGCUUCAAUGUUUUAAAAAUAUUCAGAUAUUUGAGGGCUCACUCUAGUAUAGGUAUUGUUUUAAGUAUUGUGUCUAGGGCAGCCCUGGUGGCCCAGCAGUUUAGCAUCGCCUUCAGCCCAGGGUGUGAUCCUGGAGACUAGGGAUCGAGUCCCACGUUGGGCUCCCUGCAUGGAGCUUGUUUCUCCCUUUGCCCUGUGUCUCUGCCUCUCUUUCUCUCUCUCUCUGUGCCUCUCACAAAUAAAUAAAAUCUUUUUUAAAAAUAAGUAUUUGGCUAUAGUUUGUAAGCAAGACAAACCAAAUCUUUUCCCAUAUAAGCUUACGUUCAAAUUGGAGAUCAGGUAAAAAAAUGAACCAAAACAUAGUAUUUCAUGUAGUGAUAAAUGCCAUGGGAAAAAAAUUAAGCAGGUAAAAGGCAGGGGAGCAUACCUCAGAAGGGUCUUCCCUAAUAUUCCUAAGGUUAUUUUUGGGCUAGAAAGGAGUAAUAAGAAGGAUGAGAAUGGUAACAAAUGAGUUCAGAGAAGUAGGUAAGAGUCAGAUCAUAUAGGCCUCUUUGGCCAAAGUAAUAAGCAAAUUUUCUUCUAAGCUAGACAAAGCCAUUGGAUAGUUUUACAUAAAUGAUUAAAGGGAUCUGAUUUUUUUUUUCUUUUAAGUUUACUGGCUAAUGCUGAGAAUAAAGUAUACGUGAAUAGGAAGGAGGAAGAAUAGUUGGGAAACUACUACAGGCAAGAGGUAGCUCAGACUAGGGGAAUGGCUGAUAGAGUGGUUGGGAAGUGGUCAAAUUUGGGAUACGCUUUUUUGUUCCUUUUUUUUUAAGAUUUUAUUUAUUUAUUCAUGAGAGAGAGAGGUUGAGGGAGAAACAGGCUCCAUGCAGGGAGCCUGACGUGGGACUCCCACAAAGUCCUGGGACUUUAGGAUCACGCCCUGGGCUGAAGGCAGGUGCUAAACCACUGAGCCACCCAAGGAUCUCUACUUUUUUGUUCUUAACACCCAGGUGAACUUCCAAUUUCUCAAGUUUGUACAGUUUAAUGUAAAAAAAAAAAAUAAUUUUUCUAAAAAUAAAAUCUAUUAUGACUAUUACUUGGAACAAAACUAAUUGCUAUGCUAUAAUGGCUCCUAAUUUCAAGUCAGGAUACAAUGGCAGUUUCCUUUUUUUUUUUUUUUUUUUUUUACAAUGGCAGUUUCUAAAUGUGCAUGAGCUCAGAAGUGCCACUAAUUUUAGCAUUCAUUGGUGAAUUUUCCGUGCAACAAAGAUUACUGUGGAGUUCCAUGGUGGUUUUCUUCUUUCCUGUUCCUUCUACAUUUAUUGGAAUUCUCUAAGGAUGAUUUUUUUUUUCCUUUUCCUUAUAUUCAAUCUUUUUUUUUUUUUAAGAUUUUAUUUACUUAUUCAUGAGAGACAGAAAGAGGAAGAGACACAGGCAGAUGGAGAAGCAGGCCCCAUGCUGAGAGCUCGAUGUGGGACUUGAUCCCAGGACCCAGGACCAUACCCUGGGCUAAAGGCAGGCACCAAACCAUUGAGCCACCCAGUGAUCCUUCAUUCGUAUUAUUUUGGACUUACAGAUACCUUAUUCUUUGGUUUACAAUUCAUUAUUAUCAUUAUUAAUCUAUUUUUCAAAUGGUUCUCCAGAUUUUGCCAUUCGAAGUCAAAGUUCCCAGUGUUAAUUUCCAAGUUGGUUUCUGUAUCUUUUUGACCUGUCUCUCCUUUUUUUCUUAAGUGUAGAACUAUGUGUUUUAGGUUUAUGGCACUAUAGUCUUCUAAACUGUAAAUAUCCUAAGGGGCAUAAUAAUAUUUCCUUAACUAAUACCUUAGUAUGAAUUAGUAUUCCUUAGUAUUAGUAUUUCCUUAACUAAUACCUUAGUAUGUAUUAGCCUUAUGGAGUUGCAUGAUGCUAACAGUUGGAAAAGACCUUAGAGGCUAUAUAAUUUAAAUUCCUUAAUCUUACCUUGAAUUUUUAUUAACCAUCACACCUUCACUCAGUUCUGUGUUAGUGCUAAUAAAGGAAGACUUCUUAAAAUAUAUAUAUAUGUGUGUGUGUGUGUGUGUGUGUGAAGUUUGGGCAGAAGGGCAGUACUGAUCCCACUUGUGGCCCAUUUCUUCUCUGCAGACACAUUUCUGUUUUCCAAACCUGUUGCCAUCCUUCAGCUAUAAGGACUGAGAGAACCAUGGUCUGACAACAGAGGAGUACUCAGAGGUACUUGUUCAGGGGUGUGAGGGAGGGACAGGACAGUUAGCUGUGGGAGAAAGCUGGAUGUUUUGAUAAAGAGAAGGGCUGGGGCUGUUUUCCCUGGGCUUUCUGGUUUGCAAGAUAGAAGUCUGUUAGUUGGGAAGCUCCAUGGAAGCUUUCUAGUUGUGAUCUGAAACUAGCCCCUCCUUGGGGGGCAGGGAGAGACCCAGGAAAGAGGGAAGCUGGUGGUGUUCCCAAGCAAAGGAGGCUCACAGGUGAGGCUCUUCCCAGGUGGUGGCAGAAUGAGUAGAUACCCACACCCACCAGCCAGAUCUGAAAAGUAAUGUAGAGG